GAUUCUACUACAAAUGAGAAGGCAAAGUUGUUCGCAGUUGUUGCUGGCCUCCGAGGGGGCAUGUGCACGCUCGAGCACUUUCUUUCUUCAUUUACACACCUGUGAACCUGUUUGUAGGGUGCCUUCACUGGCACUCUAUGUCUUUUCAUAUACACCAUUGUAUGUCGAUAGAAUGUAUCUUUUGCUCUCGUCAGAGACAAAGAAUAAAGUUAUUACAACUUUCAGCAACGGAUCUCUUGGCUCU
rnacentral:misc_RNA from 1 species